UACGAAGGGUGCAAGCGUUAAUCGGAAUUAUUGGGCGUAAAGAGCUCGUAGGCGGUUUGUCGCGUCUGCUGUGAAAACGCGAGGCUCAACCUCGCGCCUGCAGUGGGUACGGGCAGACUAGAGUGCGGUAGGGGAGAUUGGAAUUCCUGGUGUAGCGGUGGAAUGCGCAGAUAUCAGGAGGAACACCGAUGGCGAAGGCAGAUCUCUGGGCCGUAACUGACGCUGAGGAGCGAAAGCAUGGGGAGCGAACAGG
rnacentral:rRNA from 1 species